UGGCUCAGUUGGUUAGAGCAUUGUGUUUGCAAUGCUAGGGUUGUGGGUUCGAUUCCCAC
rnacentral:tRNA from 1 species